rnacentral:rRNA from 1 species
UACGUAGGGUGCGAGCGUUAAUCGGAAUUACUGGGCGUAAAGCGUGCGCAGGCGGUGAUGUAAGACAGGUGUGAAAUCCCCGGGCUUAACCUGGGAACUGCAUUUGUGACUGCAUCGCUGGAGUGCGGCAGAGGGGGAUGGAAUUCCAGGUGUAGCGGUGAAAUGCGUAGAUAUCUGGAGGAACACCGGUGGCGAAGGCGGCAUCCUGGACCGGUAUUGACGCUGAUGCGCGAAAGCCAGGGGAGCAAACGGG